GCAAGUCGAGGGGCAGCGAGACACUUCGGUGUUGUCGGCGACCGGCGAACGGGUGCGUAACGCGUAUGCAACCUACCUCGUACAGGGGGAUAGCUUUCGGAAACGAAAAUUAAUACCCCAUAUUAUCUCAUCAUCGCAUGGUGAAGAGAUGAAAACUCCGGUGGUACGAGAUGGGCAUGCGUCCUAUUAGCUUGUUGGUAAGGUAAAAGCUUACCAAGGCUACGAUAGGUAGGGGGUCUGAGAGGACGAUC
rnacentral:rRNA from 1 species